rnacentral:rRNA from 1 species
GGUAUAGUUCUUCGGAAUUAGAGACCGGCGCACGGGUGCGUAACGCGUAUGCAAUCUACCUUUUACAGAGGGAUAGCCCAGAGAAAUUUGGAUUAAUACCUCAUAGUAUAGCAGUUUCGCAUGAAACCACUAUUAAAGUCACAACGGUAAAAGAUGAGCAUGCGUCCCAUUAGCUAGUUGGUAAGGUAACGGCUUACCAAGGCUACGAUGGGUAGGGGUCCUGAGAGGGAGAUCCCCCACACUGGUACUGAGACACGGACCACACUCCUACGGGAGGCAGCAGUGAGGAAUAUUGGACAAUGGGCGCAAGCCUGAUCCAGCCAUGCCGCGUGCAGGAUGACGGUCCUAUGGAUUGUAAACUGCUUUUAUACGAGAAGAAACACUACUUCGUGAAGUAGCUUGACGGUAUCGUAAGAAUAAGGAUCGGCUAACUCCGUGCCAGCAGCCGCGGUAAUACGGAGGAUCCAAGCGUUAUCCGGAAUCAUUGGGUUUAAAGGGUCCGUAGGCGGUUUAAUAAGUCAGUGGUGAAAGCCCAUCGCUCAACGGUGGAACGGCCAUUGAUACUGUUAAACUUGAAUUAUUAGGAAGUAACUAGAAUAUGUAGUGUAGCGGUGAAAUGCUUAGAGAUUACAUGGAAUACCAAUUGCGAAGGCAGGUUACUACUAAUGGAUUGACGCUGAUGGACGAAAGCGUGGGUAGCGAACAGGAUUAGAUACCCU